UGAGAAUGCUGGCAUGAGUAACGAGAGAGGGGCGAGAAACCCCUCCGCCGUAAGCCUAAGGGUUCCUGGGCAAGGCUAAUCCUCCCAGGGUCAGUCGGGAGCUAAGGCGAGGCCGAGAGGCGUAGCCGAUGCGCAACAGGCGGACAUUCCUGUACCGCCUGCGGACCGCUAUCACCGACGGGGUGACGGAGAAGGGUAGCCGAGCGGGGUUCUGGACGUCCCCGUGAAAGCGCGUAGGGAGCAUCGCAUGGAAAUCAGCGGUGCACGUAUCCUGAGACGCGAGACGAAAGCUUAUGCUGAAGUCGGCGAGCCCAUGCUUCCGAGAAAAACCUCUAGGAAGGGACGCAGGCGCCCGUACCAAAACCGACACAGGUGGGCAGGUAGAGCAUACCGAGGCGAUCGGGAGAACCAUGGUUAAGGAACUCGGCAUACUGACUCCGUAACUUCGGGAGAAGGAGUGCCCCUGGCGGUGGAGGGACUAGCUCCCCGAGCGGCCGGGGGUCGCAGCGAAACGGCCCAAGCGACUGUUUAUCAAAAACACAGGACUCUGCAAAGCCGUAAGGCGACGUAUAGGGUCUGACGCCUGCCCGGUGCUGGAAGGUUACGCGGAUGGGUUAGCGCAAGCGAAGCUCUGAAGCCAAGCCCCAGUAAACGGCGGCCGUAACUAUAACGGUCCUAAGGUAGCGAAAUUCCUUGUCGGGUAAGUUCCGACCUGCACGAAUGGCGUAACGAUUUGGGCGCUGUCUCAACCAUGGACCCGGUGAAAUUGUAUUAUUCGUGAAGAUGCGAAUUACCUGCGGAAGGACGGAAAGACCCCGUGAACCUUUACUGCAGCUUGACAUUGAUCGUUGGCUCGGCGCGUAGAGGAUAGGCAGGAGGCUUCGAAGCGGGGACGCCAGUUCCCGUGGAGCCGGCCUUGGAAUACUGCCCUCGUCGCGUCGGCGAUCUAACCCCCGGCCGUGAUCCGGCGGGGGGACCGUGUCAGGCGGGUAGUUUGACUGGGGCGGUCGCCUCCCAAAACGUAACGGAGGCGCGCAAAGGUCCGCUCAGAACGGUCGGCAACCGUUCGCAGAGCGCAAGAGUACAAGCGGGCUUGACUGCGAGGCCCACAAGCCGAGCAGAGACGAAAGUCGGUUCUAGUGAUCCGGCGGCACAGAGUGGAAUGGCCGUCGCUCAACGGAUAAAAGGUACUCCGGGGAUAACAGGCUGAUCUUGCCCAAGAGUCCACAUCGACGGCAAGGUUUGGCACCUCGAUGUCGGCUCAUCGCAUCCUGGGGCUGGAGUAGGUCCCAAGGGUUGGGCUGUUCGCCCAUUAAAGCGGUACGCGAGCUGGGUUCAGAACGUCGUGAGACAGUUCGGUCCCUAUCCUCCGCAGGCGCAAGAGGAUUGAGGAGGUCUGCCCCUAGUACGAGAGGACCGGGGUGGACGGACCUCUGGUGCAGCAGUUGUCGACCAACGGCACGGCUGCCUAGCUACGUCCGGCACGGAUAACCGCUGAAAGCAUCUAAGUGGGAAGCCGUCUCCAAGAUGAGUCCUCUUUCCGGUAAGGGCCCAGGCAGAACACCUGGUCGAUAGGCCGCAGGUGCAAGGCGUGCGAGCGCCUCAGCCGAGCGGUACUAAUAGCCCGAGCUCUUCUUCC
rnacentral:rRNA from 1 species